CUCCCGUUCUUGCCCCGUGCUCGGCCCGGGGGGGGGGAAAUGGCGAGCCUGAUUCCCGCGGCGACCUCAUCUCCCGCCGGCGCUCCUUCCCGUAGCAAGAAGCGCCCGGCAAGCCCGGGCACCGGCAGCGGUCCGGCCAAGAAAAAGAAAGUGGCAGCGUCGAGCGGCUCGCAGUGAAGAAUGAAUGGUAUCUUACAAACAAAAUGACCAGGCAAACAAGCACAGCUGAGAGAGUUUUGCUCAAUUUAUGUUUAAAAGGUAAAGAUUACAUUUACUUUGCAGUAAUUGUUCACUAGGGAAUCUUCUUUCAGGCUCUAAAUAAUGUAUUGUAUUUGUCAGCGUAUUAUUUACCUUCACGAAGGAUGGGUUUUGCAGCACAAAGGUCUGCACUGGUAGAUCUGCACUGGUUAAAAUUCACACGGCAUUGUAAAAGCUUAAAAAUCCCCACCAAAAACCUGAAACACUACACAAUGUUUCUUAAGCUUUACAUCCCAACGUUUUAAAGCAGGCUGGACAGCAAUCUGUAGGUAGUUCAGACACUUCCAGUUUGGCGCUGAAAACCUGCUGAGAGUAUCAGCUGGGAAGCUGCAGGCUGCACUGGAGCUCUGUGCAGCUGUACGUUGUCCUGGAAGCAGUGCUCCUGUUGAACUCUUUAAUGCUCUUCCAGAAAGAAAAGCACAUUUGCUGAGUAUCAAUCCUCCAUAGUGCUACUGUUAUAAAUCAGAGCCUUCACGCAAGCGAUGCUGAUUGAGUGAACUGGCAUGCCUCUGCAGUAUGUCUUUUAUCUCAGUUCCCUGCAUUUUAACUGGGAUCGCAGUACUCAAUCUUAUUUGCUCCCCAGUCCGCGCGAGGCUCCCAAAUUGUGCUAUCAAUUGCAGUCUGCUUUGCAGUCCUGCACACCAGCCUGCCCCUUUACCUAGGAGAGGAACCACCUCUCUCCAAUUGUCUAGGAGAGAUCCCAAAGCAACUGCUCUGCUUCUGCCCCAGUGGGACUGGGAGAUGACACGGAUGCUCAUGGGGUCCAGGAAGGCAGCACCUGCUGCUCCAGAGCCUGCUGCUUUUGCCACCGUGCACAAGCAAAAUUCACAACCUCAGCGUGAGUUAUCCUGACUCUUAGUGGCACUAAUACCUGAAAUCCCUCAGGAGGUGGUCUGGAAAAGAAACGACGUGUCGAAUUUACAUCUGUGAGUUGUCCUGCCAGGAACAGUUCCUUGCUUUCCUGCCCAGCAUGCCAUUAAGAUUAGCACUAAACCCACAGAGAAAAACCCCGUGAGGACAGCAAGUGUCAUAUGUACAUAGACAUUAAGCACUGAGUGUACAAGGACGCUUUCUGCCCCUUACUGUUUAUCCAUUUCUGUUUACUCUGUCUCAAAAUGCUAGAUAUUGUUAUGAGACACUGUUCAAAUGCCUCUUGAAACCUGGUUCAUAAACAAUGGAAUGUUUAGGAGCAGAUCACUGAAGGGGCAAAAGUGAUGAAGUAAUUAAUCAGAAACUGCAGGAUUGGAUUUAAGACAGACCAAAUGGUACCAAAUUAAAGGAAAAAAGACUUUGAAGAGCAACUACUGUGAGUGCUCAUUCUUCCAGUUACAGAAUUUGUACUGCUAAUGAACAGUAUCAGAGGUAAUUUAUUCAUCAAAAAUAAUCUUGUAUCUCAAGCCUUGUCUUUUCCAAGAUUAACAGUAAAGCAACAUUCACUGCUGAAAUCCAGAGUGCUGGAAGCGUGCAUUUGCAAGAACACGGAAGCCUAGAAACAUGUUGUAUAAAGUCACUCUGUUCAGCAUUGCUUAAGACAGUAUUUUCUGGGUUCACUCCCACAACACACGUUUCUAAAGAUCCGUUUGCAUUUCUUUUGUUUCUGUGACAGUCAUUGCCUUUUGAUAUUGUCCUUAGCAAGGGAAGAAUCAGGUUUUAGCUACAAGCUUCAGUGCUCCUUCACUGUUGUUACUAUGACAGUAUCCCCUGUAGUAUGGGCCUACAGAGUACCAAAUGUGGUUUUGAAAACAGAUCAUCCCUAUUCAUAUAUUUUAUUUUAAUAAGGUGUUAGAAACAUGACUAUUUUACCUGACAGCUUCUUUUCUUUGAAUAUGUAAGACCUCUCUUUGCUACGUUAAAGUGUGUUGAGUAACUAAUGUAUUUCCCCAAACUAGAGUUCAGCUCGCAUAGUUCCUAAUCCUGUAAUUGCUUAUGCCUGUAGUUAUGAAUACAAAAACUUCCUUUGUAAUCACGUGGAGAAGGACGUGCUUAGUUUAUGAAGGUGUUUAUAAACAUGAGGGAAAAUUUUUUACAAGAGUAUAUAGUGAUAGACAAGGGGGAAUGGUUUUAAACUAAGGGAGGGGAGAUUUAGAUUAGAUGUCAGGGGGAAGUUUUUUUUUUU
rnacentral:lncRNA from 1 species